AUUGAACGCUGGCGGCAUGCCUUACACAUGCAAGUCGAACGGCAGCACGGGUGCUUGCACCUGGUGGCGAGUGGCGAACGGGUGAGUAAUACAUCGGAACGUACCUUAUCGUGGGGGAUAACGCAGCGAAAGUUGCGCUAAUACCGCAUACGCCCGGAGGGGGAAAGCGGGGGACCGUAAGGCCUCGCGCGAUUAGAGCGGCCGAUGUCUGAUUAACUUGUUGGUGAGGUAAAAGCUCACCAAGGCGAUGAUCAGUAGCUGGUCUGAGAGGACGAUCAGCCACACUGGGACUGAGACACGGCCCAGACUCCUACGGGAGGCAGCAGUGGGGAAUUUUGGACAAUGGGGGCAACCCUGAUCCAGCAAUGCCGCGUGAGUGAAGAAGGCCUUCGGGUUGUAAAGCUCUUUUGUCGGGGAAGAAACAGCAGCUCUAACACAGUCUGCGAAUGACGGUACCUGAAGAAUAAGCACCGGCUAACUACGUGCCAGCAGCCGCCGUAA
rnacentral:rRNA from 1 species